GCAAAAAAGUGGAGAAACACUACUGCAGUUGAGCAAUAGAAAGCUAUACCAUCUGACAACAAGAAGGUCUUGAAGGCUAUCUUUGUUGAGAGAACUGCUUUACCUUUGUCGGGGUCAUCAUCAUUGUACCCACCAGGUAGAGUAAAGCCUGCUGCAAAAGUGACAGUUGCUAUGAGCGUCGCGACCAAUAAAUGGGUGUUGGAAAUGUCCUUGAGAUGAUGAGAUCGAAGUUCCUUUUCUUUCAUGAUUUCUCUGUUCCUAUCAAGAAGUAUACUCAUAUUGCUAGCAGUACGAGACGCGCCAUCACUGCUCUUUUGAUGCCCAUUGUUAUCAGUCCGCAUAUUUGCAUUUUCCUGGUAUCCUUCAUUGUCACCAUUUUGCAUAUAUGCAUUGUCUCUAAUGACCAACCGGUGUAAACUUUGUCGACCACCAGCAUGCUCCAACUUCCUCAUGAUCCAAUACUGGCAGUCAUUUGAAAGGAAUUAGAAUGAACUUGUAAAGCAAAGCUAUGGGAAAAAUUUUGAAUCAAACAUUGAACAAAAUCUAUUGGCUAGCUCUUAAAGAGGACACCAAACACAUUGAAUAAUAUUAGCCAUCCAUUUCAGAUACUUUUUUCUUUUUCUUUUUUCUCUCUUUUUUAAGUAAUCGCUUAACAGAUUGAAUGGCUAUAAUCAUUCAACAUGAUCUUUCUGCAUCAAAUAUCUUCAGAGAGAUAUGAGAAGCCUCAUCAUGUCUAAUUAAAAUUUGUCUCAAACUUUACAGUAACGUACCUUGAUUUUUUCUCCAAUAUCCAUAUUUGACUGGACAAUGUCAAUAGUCUUCAAAUACUCAUUGUUCAUUGCCCUUUUGUCCACUCUAUCGUCUGCAGCCAACAUAAUCACAACCCCGUAAUGUCCAUAAAUGGCAGCUAGAUGAAGGGGUGUGUUACCUUCCUUAUCUGGCUCAUUUAUGAUACUUUCCAAGUUUGGCUUCUUCAGGAUAUACUUAACGACUCUAGCGUUUCCAUAUUGAGCUGCAACAUGAAGAAUUGUGCGGCCUUUGUUGUCAAUCAAAUCAUAAACAUCUGGAAGACAUGUGAUAAUCUGUUCCAUUACAUUAGUGUGGCCCUCUUUGGCUGCAAUGUGGAGAGCACAACUGUGUUCUACAUCCAAUAAGCCAGCAACAGAUUUGUCAUACUUCAGUAACUUCUCAGUUGCUUUGAGGUGACCCAAGUGGGCAGCAUAGUGAAGAGGGGUCCACCCAAAUUCAUCUGCCUUUUUUAUCACAUCCUUCUUCAUUUCAAAUAGUACUUCCAUAAUAUCUAUACAUUGGGAGAAGAAGGUUAGAAAUCUUAAAAAGAAGUGGAAGAAUCUACUUAAAUAGCAUUUCAUACCUCACCAAAAAUAUGUCAAGAGAAAUGGAAAAGGCGACCAAAACACCCUUUCCCCCAUAUUUUAAGCAUAAAAAUGUCCUCAAUAAUGAUCCCCUUCAUUUCCAAAAAAAAAGGAAAAUCCUCGUACAUCUUGAUAAAUAAACACAUGGCUUAAUCAGUUGUAUGGUUUGAAGGUCCGUUCUUUUUUCUUAUAUAGGAAUGGGUGUUCAAAUAGAGUGAGAAUGGAGAGAACUCUCCACUCAUAAGCUUUUUGAAGUAAAAAGGAAAAAGGAAAAAAUCCAACUUCUUAGUAAACAAGAAUGAAAAGGGCACAGGAUCUUCUUACUUUAAAAAGGGGACAAAAGGAGUCUUAUUACCAAUUUCAUCAUUCAAUUGUUUUCCUUUGAAGUGUCCUCGUACCCUAAAGAAAAAGUUUGUAACCACACGGCGAUGUUUUUCUAGAGAUAAUUCUGGAACUUCUUGGCCUGCAGCAUGAUAUAACAAACUAAAAUCAGUGAUAUCCCCAUAAAAAUAACAAAGAAGGCCAAAAAAACAAAGGCUUGCCUUUUAGUUUGUUCAUCUUGCAUAAGGGAUUGAAAAAAGGAAAAGGAAAGAAAGAAAAUUAAUGCAAAUUAAGUCUUUUCCCAAAAGUGGUCCAUAUUCAGAAGAAAUAUUUGUUGAAAUAAUUUUCAAAACUUCAUACCAAACAAGGAAAUAAUGAAAGCUGAUAUUUUUCAUCUACUUGAUUUCUUUUCUUCAGUUUCUUCCUCAUUUUUCUCUCCAGGCAUGGUGGUAAGACUUGGGUCUUAGAAAGUAUACACCCAAAUGCCUGAAGACUUGGGUUUUUUUUUCUUUUUUUUCUUUUUUUGUCACCAGAAUUAUCACUGGACGCCCUUUGCAUGCCCAAAUUAAACUUGAAAAAGUAAAACAAAUUAACAUUAGAAAUGAAGAUUUCAGAUAUACUCCUACUAACCAACAUUGGAUUGUGUUCCUGGAAACCAUUCUCCUCGUAGAUGCAGUCCAAGUCCAUUUACAGACAGCUCGGGGGGUAUGGGUUUACCCAGCUCAGGACCUACAAGUUAGGAAGAAUCGAAGAAAUCUUUUAAGUAUACAAAAGCAAGCAUGAACAUAAACUUUUAUGCAUAGAAAGAUUUUGACCUUUAUGGGUACGAAUCACAGCUGCAUGUAAAGCGGUCAUCCCUUUCGUGCCCUCACAGGAACAUUCAGAACUGUUUCCUUUCAACAGUUCGUCAGCAAUCUUGAAAAACCCCCUUUCCACAGCCAAAUACAAGGGGGACUCUUUAUGAUUAUUAACCAAAUCCAACAACUUAGGAUUUUCUUGAACCAACCGGUUCACCACCUCAAGAUGACCAUUCCUCACAGCCACAUGCAGUGCCGUAUCAGCCCUCCCAUUCUUCAUUUCCAGUGCUUGCUUGGCAUUUUUACUUUCAAGAAAGCACUUAACCAUGUCACUACAGCCAGUUCUCGAGGCGAUAUGCAGCGGAGUGUCGCCUUUGAAGUCAGCUCUAGUCAGAAGCUCUGGAAACUUCUCAACAAGAGCUUCAGCAAAGCCUAUGCACUUGAAAUUACCAGCAAUGUGAAGAGCAUUGCGUUUCUGGGAAUGUGCUUGGCAGGGAAUACUCUGGAGGCUAUGUGGCUUNNNNNNNNNNNNNNNNNNNNNNNNNNNNNNNNNNNNNNNNNNNNNNNNNNNNNNNNNNNNNNNNNNNNNNNNNNNNNNNNNNNNNNNNNNNNNNNNNNNNUGAAUUUUGUGGCACCUCCCGUGGAAACUUGCCACCAAAGCUCCCAAUUCAGAAAUGUUGUUUUUAAAAUAAUAACAGAAUUGAGUAAUUUUCUUUCUUUCUUAUCUCCAACGUUUUUGCUAAAUACUUUCACUUUUGGAGCUUGGUUUUAUAUCUGAUUUCGUAAGUCCUAAGAUAUCUACUACCAUGUACCUUGAAAGGUUGGUGUUGAAUCUAUUGAUUAAUUGUAUAUGUUAGGGCAAUGAGUCUUCAUCAUAAGUUAGCAAUUUUGUUCCUUUUAAUUUUUGGCUUAGGAAUCUUUUUAAAUAGUGACUUACUUUCUAUUAAAAGAUUCAAGGUUAUUGUUCGAUCAACUGGAAAGUCAUAUGUAAAUCUAAAAAGGUUUAGUUUAUGGCAAAUUAGGUGUUUAAAAGGGUUAAGUGGAUUGGUAUAUUUUUUAUUGAAUUAAAAAUGUUUUAUUUAAUAUUUUGAAAAUGCAAGGGAUGCUCGAGUGGUGGAAAUAGUGCUCAAGCGUUGGGACCACUCAAACACUUAUCAACUCAAACACUUAUCCAACACUUAAGUGAUCAAGGCACUCAAGUGGUAGGUAAGUGCGCUCGAGUGCUCAUCCCAAAUCUGCUAAAAUAUGGUAGAAUAUUUUUGGAUAAUUCAUGCAAAUUGAGUUUGGAAACUUCACUAUACCAAUCCCCUAAGGCUUGGAGGCCUAUAUAAACCCAUCUAUAACCCUUUUAGUAUGAAGUGUAGUAAAACCAAAUGGAAGAAUGAAUAAUCAAAUGGAAGAAUAAGACAAUUAAGGAGAAAGAUUACAUGAAGAUAGGGCCUUAUGCUUCAACAAUAAGUAGCCUUAUGUAUGUGAUGUUGUGUCCUAGAUUAGAUAUUUGUUUUACGUAAGAAUGAUGAGUAGAUAAUAAUCCAAUCCAAGUAUAGAGCAUUGGACAACGGUCAAGUAUUAAAACCAUAAACAAAAAGCUAAAAUCAUGUUCAUUGAUUCUAAUUUUCAUAUGAAAAUUUUAAAAAUAUAACAAUAAAAUAAUAUCACAGGAUAUUUUUAUUUAAUUUAUACAUGAUUAGAUUUAUAAAACAAAUAAAUAUUUUUUUAGUAUGAAUAUAUAAAAUCUUAUAUCCUAAACCUCUAAAAAAUUUUAUUAUAUAUUUAUUUUUAUAUUAAAUUUGUUCUCAUUAAUUAUUUAUUAUAUAUUAUUAUUUUUUAUUUAAAAUAUCCAUAAAUAAUUGAAAUCAAUAACUAUAAAAAGAUGAAAUGGUAACAAAUUUUGAAAUUAAAAAGAUUUCAUGAAGCCUAUACAUUAAAAAAAAAAAAAACAUUUCACAGUGAAAAAUAAAUAAAAUUCAUAUGGUACGGUUGAUUGUCACACGAUAAAGUUUUUAAAAAAGAAAAAUUGUUAUAAAAUUGUUAUAGUUCAUGGUAGGUAGGAGGAGAAAAGGGUAAUUUUAGAAUUUUGAUGAAUAUAACUAUUUAAGUGUAUAUUUAUAGGAUUAGCUUUUGUAAGCGAGAAGUCAAGUCAAACCUCUCAAAAAAAAUCUUUUUUUUUUAAGGUGCACAUGAUUAUACGAUUCUUCCUAUCUCAAGGCUGGGGCCCAUGCUGAAAUGAUAUGUCAACAACCCUCCUUAAAGUAGAGUUGUAAAAGCUACUUCCCUUCUAUGUCUCCGGCCGAUAUUUCAGUCUAGUGUGGCGGCUUUUAACGCUUCAUCUACCUAUCUUCUUUUACGUUGAGCGUGGAAUCCACCGUUAUUUGAACUUAGGAGAUACCCACACUGACUUUUCAAGUUUUGUCCAGUUGAGGAAACUUUGAAAAUUAUUUAGCAGAAGACUGAUAAUGCAACCUUCUUCAUAAGAUGGGUGAUUUUUGAACACUACUGUACUCUAACCAAAUACCAUUUGUGCUUAUAUGUGAUACAAUGAAUGGAAUAUCUUUUCCCCUUUAUUACGCAAAUACUUGUUUAAUAAGUUCUUAUUCUCCUGCGAGUAACUUGCGAUUGAUUGUUUGAAUAGGUAGGGAAUUUUUUUAAAUUAGUCCCCCAUCCAUGCCCAUUAGAGAUUCUGAAAUUCAUUUGUAACAUUUAUGAUUUUUUGGAAAAUAAAAGACCUACUCCAAUAAUACCAAUAUGAAUGGUACCACCAAACUUUCGUACGUAUCUAUAAAGAAGGAGAAGGUGCCCAAACAAUGUAUCCAGAAAAAAACAUUCAAGAAAAUAAUCCCAACUACUAGAUUUCAACAAGUAGGAUUUUGAGCAUAAAAGAAAUAAAAUAAAAUAAAAAUAAUGACGGCUUCGAAUGACAUCACUGACCCAACGCAGGCAGAGGAGUUAGGAGUUGCGUGGAAAUUGUGAAAGGCGUAGAUCACGCCACAUGGAAGCAGUGGAGACAUGGCCAGUAGGAUAAUUAAUAUCCAUGUGGAUAACAGAGUGGAUCAAAACAAUGCCAUUCCCAUCAUGAAUGAACACUCAUUUACUUCUGCGUUUACUUGACUUUUGAGAGAUUUGCAAAACAUGUAGAGAGAGAUAUCACUGGAAGAGUUCUCUUCUCAUUAAUCAUGUUAUAAAACUGAUGAGUUAAGGCUAGUCUAUAAUUUCCAUCAGUGGUAAUAAAAUAAGUAUGCAGCUGUUUAGAAAGAAAGAUCAGCAUGGGUGGUUGCAACGCGCAACAAAAAGUCCCAUCAGACUUCUCAUCCCUGGGAAUCUUACACUCGCUAGGUAGACUAAUCAAACCAGGAUCCAACCUGGUACAAACUACUGUUUCAACCACUCAAUAUUUAAGGAAUCACUUCCUAGUCACUAAGAACAUAAACUAAUCAAACCCAACCUGGCACAGGCUACCUUAUCGACUAGUCAGUACUCAAGGGAUCAUUUCCUAGUCACCAAGAUAGUUAAUUUAGAAAAUCUUACACUGAAAAAUGACCUAUUCAUCUGCAUGAGCAUAUGCUUUUCACAUCCCACUGAAUAUAAUCUUAACAUCUGUUUCAUUAGUAUGAUUUUCUCUUAAGCUAUUGACUUCAAUAUUUACUAGGAAACGAUAUCAAAGGGAAAAAGAUUACCAAUUCAGAAAAAUGUAAAGCAAGGUACAAAAUACUAGAUGGAGAUAUCUCAAAGAAAGAAAUUCUUUUCCUAUAGCUAAACUAAUGCACACGAUCAAAUCUAACAGUGACAUUUGUUCUUGGAGCCAGACAGAAAGCCAAGUACAGAUACAGAGUGUUUUCAAGAUGGGAUUAUUUGGUGUUUUUAACUAUUUAAGUUGAAUGAUGAAAACACAUGCACUUCAACAAUGACAAACCAAAUUGGUUAGUAUCCUGCUUAAUAACCGUAGUUUGCUCCAUUCACCGGGCCAUAGCCUCCAGUGUGGCUUGCAUGUGCUGGGUUGGAUGCAGGAGAUGCAUACAUCGAACCAUGAGCUGCAUAAGAAUUAUAGCCUGGGUCAGUAGAUCCACCAGUUUGGGCCUGUGCUGGUGCAGCAGCUUCAGCCAUAAAAUUCUGCAACACAAACAAUCAUUACAAGCAGACAAGUCCAAUUUGAUUACAUAAUGAAGCAUUGACAAAGAAUAAACAAAAUUUUAAUGGAAAAAUCAACUUUUUUGGUUGAGUAAGAUCCCAAUAAAACAAUAAUUAAACAAUUCUAUAUUAUCAGUAAAAAUCAAUGAUGAAGCUAAAUGGAAAAGAAUGAAGUCCAACUGUCUGAAUUGCUGACCACACUUAACAUUUCAAUAAUAUAUAUCCUAUAAAAAAAAUUCUUUAAUUCUUUAAUUCUAGUAAUAAAGUCGGUCCCACCAUACCUACCCCCACACGCACCCAAACACCACAUACAAGGAGACAUCAGAAACAAUGAUCUAAUGCUAAGCAAUGUCAUUAUGCAAAUGGAAACUGCAAUAUUAGCAAAGACAAACCAACAACUUGGUAUCAAAAACAGGGAGGAAGAGUGCCUGUAUCAGUUGAUGAGAUGCUUGGACUUGGGAAGCAGUUGCAUUGAUUCACGUGGCUACAAAAGACUCUUUAGGAGAAAGUUGAGGAGUUCACAUGUGUAUAGGAAGAUUGAUUCACAAGGCCCUUGAAAAUUUUCUAUUUAAAGCUCUUGUAAGGAAAAUGGGAGACAUAUCUUCCUUCUCCAUCAUUCCUUCUUUUCUCAUUUCUUUUUUCUUGAUAUAAAGCUAAGGAUUCUCUCAUUUCUUUCUUCUUCAUUGUAAGUUACUUGAUUGAAGCCAAAAUAUGUGCUCCAAUGGCACAUAUAUGAUGUUAUAAUUUAUGUAAUAUAAAAAGUUCAAAUCAUCCAACUUAACUUAAUUUCAUGCUAUGGCCAUAGUUAUGGAUCUAACUUUUAUUUUGAGCCUAAUUCUAAGUUUAAGGGAUGACAUAAAUGGAUAAGUGCAAAAGUCAUUAUCAACCAAGAAAGCAGAAGGGGUUAAACUAUAACUAAGAAACUCAAGACUUAUGAACCAUGAAAGUCCAAGAAAGGGUGUAAGAAGCAAGCCAUAGGCAUGAAAUACCAAUAGUAGAUGUUAUGGAUUGAGAUAGAGGGCAAGAAACCAUAAUGGAGGAGGUUUGAAGCAAAUGUAAUCAAGUUCACAUGAAAAUUUGGAACUCAAAAUUUGGCAAUAACAUUUACUUUGACUUUGAGAUAAAGUUUAGAAUGCUUUUUGAGGUCAAUUUUGGGAAAACUAGAUAUUGUUUCGAAGCUUGAGAAGUCAAAAGUCCAACACUUCAAACGAUGCACAAAUCGGAGUUAAAAUGAGGAAGUUAUGUGCAUUUGAAGCAAACUAGGGAAAGAAAAAUGUUGAGUUUGAAAUUGACAUCCUGAAUUCGAAAUGGUUUUUGGCUAGUUAAAACUCAAAAGGAAUGCAAGGAUACUUGUCAUAGAGGCUAAGUUUUAUCCUCCUACCUAUUUCAAAUAGGAGACAAAUUUCAAACCCAAAAACAUGCAUGGUGGGCCAUUUAAAACUCAAAGGAAUGCAAGGAUACUUGUGGCAGAAGCUAAGUUUGAAUCCCCCUACAUAUUUUGAAAAAGAGACACACAUUCCCAACCCAAAAAUAUAGUGAACAUGUAUGGGCAGUGUGUGAGUUCUAAAUUCACUGUGAAUUUGUGGAUGUCACCAUUUUUUGUAAUAAACCUUUCGGAUAUCUAUCUAGCCUUCACAAUUAUUAAAAAGUAUUUAUUCCAAUAAUUAUGAUUGUAACCCUACAAAUAAGGUUAAGAAUAUUAGGGGAAAUUUAUAACUUCAGAGUUCACUUUCUUAUCUAAUUUUCCUCUCCUCUUUAUUGUCUUCAUUUACAACAUCAAAAAAAUUAUUAUUGUUUCAUCUACAAAUUGUCUAAAACUCAUUAAAUUCAGAGCAUAGAAGUAUUGAACAUUCUCAUAUACAUUUGUUUGAGGCUGUGAUAACAUACAAUUUUACAUUAUAUAUUAAUGGAUAUAUUCCUACCGUCAUAUCUUGCCGUGGAUCACACUAUCAAACCUAGAAGUAUUCGAAGGAAUUACCAAAAACCUUCUAUUAAGUAAAUACGCAGAGAUUUUAGAGUUAAAUACAGGCAGUUCCUUACUAAGAGAGUAUUCCAUCUAUACAUGAACUAAUGUAUAUAUUGUCUAUAAAUUCAUUGAGAAAUUAAGAAUAUACAAUUAAUAUCACAUUCUAUUCUAUGGUUCUACAGAAUCCCAAAGAUGUAAAAACUCAAGAAUAAACACCCAAGCACAAUUGAAGUUGUUGGAGUCGGGGAGGAAUCAGGUAGCAUCACAUAAAUGCCUGAAGUAAAUGCUAUCACCAUUCCCAGUAGAGAGAUGUAAGUGAGUAGGGCGGAAAAUUUUGUGAAACGUGGAAGCAAAUGAUAGUUUUGUUCCAGUGAAGCAAAAAAGUGGAGAAACACAGCUGCAGUUGAGCAAUAGAAAGCCAUAGCAUCUGUUAUCACAAAGACUUUGAAAGCUGCCUUUGUUGAUAAAACUGACUUACCCUUGUUUGGGUUUUCUUCAUUGUACCCACCAGGUAGAGAGAAACCAGCUGCAAAAGUUACUGUUGCUAUGAGGGUUGCCACCAGUAGAUGGGAGUUUGAUACAUCCUUCAAAUACUUAGAUGUGAUCUGUUUCUUCUUUACAACUUCAUUAUUCCUGUCACGAAGCGAUUCACUUGCAUGAAGUGAUGUUCUCUCUCUGUCCUCUCUAAGCUCUAACUCAUUUAUGCCUUCAUUGUCAUUGAUUGUUCUGCCUGUGUUCUCGCUAACGAUCAGCCGCUCGAGACUUUGUUGAGCACCGCCAUUCUCCAACUUCCUCAUGAUCAAAGACUGGAAAGUUUUUUUAAAGAACUUAGAAUAAAAUGUUGUUUUUAGCUACCAAGGCACAUAUAUGACCAGAAAAUUCAAUUAAGGCAACAUAUUUCUUCUCUUUUUUUUUUUUUUCUUUUUUUUCAAGUUUCACAUGUGUAAAGAGAAAUAAAGCAGUGGAACCAAUGCAUAAUCUAAAAUCAUCAGCUUUCUAUGCACAUACCUUUUUCAUUUCUCCCAGAUCCAUAUUUGAUUGGACAAUGUCGAUAGCCUUCCAAUAUUUCUUGUUUGAUGCCUUCUUAUCCACUCUACGAUCUCCAGCCAAAAUCCGGACGCUGUUGUACUGUCCGUGCAUAGCAGCUAGAUGCAAAGCCGUGUUGCCUUGAUUAUCUGACUCAUUUAUUAGGCUUUCCCAUCUUGGUUCUUUUAGAGUAUACUUCAUCACUAUAGACUUCCCACAUUGGGCUGCAACGUGAAGAAUGGUCCGACCUUUAUUGUCAACCAAAUUAUUAGAACAUGGACAGCGUUUGAUGAUCUCUGCCAUCAUAUCAGGGUAGCCUUUUUUAGCUGCUAUGUGAAGAGCAGAACUAUCUUCUUUAUCCCACAAGUAAGCAACUGAUUUAUCACAUUCCAGCAAUUUCCUAGUCGCUUCAAGAUGUCCCAAUUGUGCAGCAUAAUGAAGGGGAGUCCACGUAAAUAUGUCUGUUUCUGUGACCAUAUCUUUCUUUUUGUCCAGUAGUAUUGCAAUAAUGUCAUCUAGCAAUUUAGACCAAGAAGAAGAAAUACAAUUAAAACAGACUUUUUCAUCCAGAGUACUUUUAGAAAAUAUAUUACGUUCUUGUUAUUUUAAUAUCAGAUAACGGCUCGGGAUUACUUCUCCAUGAGAAAGAUCAGGCAUUAUGCAAUGAAUUUUCCCAUCAAUUGUAAAGAGGGUAGCUACUAGCCAGUGUGGCAUAUAUUGUAAAAGCAAUUGUGUGAUUUUCUUUCCCUGGUCUUAUUACUUUUCUAGUUCAGUUAAGCUCUCCACCUAUCAAUUAGAGAAGGAGAAGUAAAGGUUUGGGCUUGGAUAAGUAUUCUUCAAAAACAAUUCUAAAAAAUAGUUUAUAAGAACUAUUGAAAACCAUUUUCUGAUGAUAUUUUAUAAAACAAAAGUUCUAAUGGCUGUAUUAUUAUGCUUGGUUGGAACUAAUGAAUACAAUUCUGGUGACUAUCUGUCAUAAGUAUAGGGAGGCCAUGCACUCCAUGUAGAUUUGUUCCGCGUCUGUCAGGAAUCAGGAAUUAGUUAAUGGGGCUCCGAAUGUUCUACUAGCCUUGCCAAAAAAUACUUCAUGAGGCUAAACUCAUCCACACUAAAGUGGUGUUUUUUUUUUUACUUAAUUCUAAAUAGAACUUUAAUGCUUAAUAGCGUUAAGUAUUAAGUUAUUUAUUUUUAUAAUACUUUAUUUCUAUUAAGCAUUAAAAAGUAAAAAAAAAAAAUCAACAUAUCACUUUUUCUAUUCAAUAAAAAGUUUAUAAUAAAUCAUGAAAAAAUAAAAAAACAAAUGAUCUAAAGUCUGAAAGCAAAUUGCUUUUAGCAAAAAACUAAAAAAACACUCUCUAAGUCUAUAGAUUUAUGUAUUCUUGGCUUUGUAUAUCUUAGACAUGUUGGAUAAUGGUGUAACAAAGAUUUCUCCAUUUUUUUCUUAUGCAUUUUCUUCUACAAUAUUUUUCAAGUAUCCCGUUGUAGGGAUAUUUACACAUAGUGCAAUUUUGCUUUAUUUUUGUUGGCAACUUCUUCUCUCUGUUGUAUUAUUCCAAUAUUUACACAUAGUGCAAUUUUGCUUUAUUUUUGUUGGCAACUUCUUCUCUCUGUUGUAUUAUUCCAAGUACCUUAUGUUACGUCUGACUCUAAAAAAUUAUUAAAUGAAGGAAAAAUAUCAAGAAACUUAUUAUUAUUAUUAUUAUUAUUAUUAUUAUUAUUAUUAUUAUUAUUAUUAUGUUUAGUUUAUCAAAAAUUAUUAAAGGAAGGAAAAAAUUGUUAAAAAAAAUAAUUUUUAUUAUAAAAAAAUUAGAAAAAUAAGUACAAUUAAAAUAGGUUAAAAAAAUUAUAUAUUUCCAAAUUAUUUUACAUUUGUGUAAAAAGGAAGAAAAAAAAAAUGAGAAAAAUGAAUUUGAAAAAAUAUUAUUAAUAAUUUUUUAACUUUCAAUUAAUUUUUCAUCUUCCUUUAUUUUUGUUUAUGUUUUCCUUGUCUAGUAUAUUCCUUCAAAAUUUCUAAGAAUCAAACAUGUGGGUUGCGGACUGGUUCGCUGGCCUGCUGGCCUGCUUGCCCGGUCCAAGCAUGAAGUUGGGUUGACCUCUAAUGGUCCUUUGGUGGACCAACCCACCAACCUAACCAAACGACGGUUUCUACCUUGGAAACCUUGGAUCAAGUGUCUGGGAUUUGAAUAAUAUCUUCUCCUGGGUUAUUAAAUUUUUAUUAGUUUUCAAUGGUUUUCUAUUUGUAAUGAUUAAAUUUUUAUUAUAAAAAUGGCUCAUAAAAACGUUGAUUAUCCUAUAACAAUGUUCCAGAAGCAAGAGAUUAUUUACCAUAGCUUUAAACCGCUAAUUUUGAAUAUCGAAAUAAGUAGAAAUAGAAAUAAAUACUAUUAUUAUGUUUAACUUUAUGAAAAUUGUUGUAAAUAAAGUGGUGAAUGACCACAUUGAUGGUCAUUUAUGAACUCCAUUUACUCAUCUUUAAGAUGAGUCAUGGGAGUUCAUAUUAUGAAGCCUAUAAAAGGCUUUUUACACCCCAUGUAAGCAGCAUCCCAAAAAAAAGAAAGAAAUUCUCUUCCUCUCAUUCUCUCUCUCUCUUUCUUUCAUUCUCUCAAUUUUCUCAACUCUCUUCUCUGAUUCCUUCUUCCCAUUAUAUAUAUUGUUAAAGUAAGAUAUAUUUUAUCUCUACUACUUUAUUUGUGUUGCAUUUAUCCUUGUUUUACAACAAAAAUUAUAUUUUAGAAUUAUUUUUAUAAAAAUUAUGGUGAAUAUUUGAAGGCACCCAAAGCAUACUAACUUGUACUUAAUAAAGACAAGACCAUAUUGAAUGUUUUGAUAUUGGUUUAUGAAACUACUUAGAGGAGAGUGAAUAGGCGAUCCUCUGCUGACAACCCUCAAAUUGAAGUUUUAAAUAUUUUUAUUAAUUCUUAAUUUAAUCAAUAUAUGUAAUUAAUAAAUAAAGCAAAGAAUAAUCUUACACUUGACAUGUGAUGUACAUGGAAAAUCAUCUAUAGAAUCUAUAAAAAAAACUUGACGAUGAAAAAUUCAUGGGUCAAUUGAUCGUAGAGCAAAUUCACUAAUUUUGAUAGAAUAAAUACAUAAUCUUACCUAGAUGAAAUACUACCUUCCUUCAAGCAUCUUACACAGGUCAGUACUUACACUUGCUUUCAUGUUCAUGAUGCAAAACCCAUAUAUUCCUUAGUGAAUACCUUAAAAGUUUAAGAGAUGUGAUCAACCACCAUGAGCAACUUCAAACAAGAUAUGAGCUUUUGGAGUAUCAGGAAUAUGCAAAAGAUAAUAACAAUAAAUUGUAGGGUAUGAUGAUGUAUGAAAGUACAAAGUUGAGCAAUGUAUGAUGGCAAGAAACUAACUAAAAAAGAUUUGAAAAGCUGACAAAUAUAGGAUAUUUAUGCAUAACAUCAAGACCGCUUAAGCCCAUUUUGUGGGCACUCGAGCGCUCCUUGUUAAUUUUAGCUUUUCUAAUUUAGCUUCAAGCCCAUUUUGAAUCUAAGUCCACUUUACACCUUAUGCAUGUCAUUAUAUUGUAACAAGAUAACCCUACUUACCUGAACAAUCAUGUGAAUAAAUAAAAAAUGAUCACAUAUCUUCAAGGCCAAUGCAUACGUAGAGUUGAGUAAAAAAAAUAUUUGGAAUAAAAUUGUUAACUUAAACUAAUUAGUCUAGAUCACUAACACAAAUAAUAUCAAAUUUAGUUAAAAUACAAAUGCACCUUCCCAUGAGCAACAUUAUUAUGUUUUACCUUCUUCAUCUUUUACAAGUUUUUAGUUAUAGAAAUAAUGAGAUUAAAAAAUUGAAGGGUAAAUUGCUCCGAUGACUAACUUGAGUGCCUUGGGGCAAUUUUUCUUUGCUUUACAUAUCUCAUAUACCUUAUUAUUGGGAGAUUAUUAAAGAUCGAAUCACAAUAGGACCAAUCCUAAAAUAAAUUCCCCAAAAUCAUUGAUAUUUGAGGCUAUGUAAUAUUUUUGCUCCAACAAGUUUAAUAUUUUGAAUAAGUUUAUCAUACAUGCAUGGAUGUACUUCAUUCUACUACUUGACUAGGGUAGCAAUCAAAAUAGAAGCAAACCUAAAAUCAAUGCUCCAAUAACGUUAAUGUUUGGGGCUUCAUAAUUUUUUUGCUCCAAUAAUUUUGAUAUUUUAGACAAAAUUAUUUUACAUGGAUCGACUUGCUUCUUUAUGUUUAAGUAAAGGGGGAGUUUUUCUUGCCUAAAUCUUGACACUUAGGGGGUGUUUGGUACGUUGGAAUAGGGAAUGGAAAUGAAUAUUUUGUUUCCUUUCCUAUUUCUUAGUGGAAUGGAAUGAAUUUGAUGAUUCCAUUUCUAGCAUUUGGAUGAACUUAGGAAUGCAAGAUUAGAAUGAUUAUUUGUUUCCAUUCCAAUGUUUGAUAAUAAUAGGAAUGGAAAUAAAAAUAUAUAAAUUUACAAUAAUAUCCUUUCAUAUAAUUUAAAAUAUUUUUUAUUUUUACUUUUAUUUAAAAAUAAAAUAAAAUUUGAGAGGUUUUUUGUUAUUAAAUAAUAAGACUAAAAAAUAUAUAUACUCGAUAAAUAAAAAAUUAACCAUAAAAAAUCGUAUAACCCUAAUGCACAAAUAUUCAAUUAUUAUUUUUAUUAAAAAUUUGAAUAAUUUGUCAUGCUUAAGUAGUUAAAUAUUUGUUUUUUUUUUCCUCAAAAUUUUAAAUAAUUUGUCAUGCAAAAAAAACUAUAGAAUUAUAUUUUACUAAGAAAAAAAAGGAGAAAAAAAAUAUAAGAACAUAUAAAUUGUCAAAGCUACCAAAUACUUAUUUCUUAUUUGCAAAAAAGGAAAUAAAAAAACACAAACUUCAUUCUAGUUCUCAAUAUAAGUACCAUAUCUACUAAAAUCUAUAACUAGUAUAUCCUCCAAAAUUAAGCCAUCAAAUCAAUAAAAAAGUUCCUAGGAAAGUGAUGAAACAAAAUCCAACCUAAAAUUUCUAUCAAUCCAACCUAAAGACAAUAAAUCAACAAGGAUGCAACAUGGAGAUUUAUGGGGUUUGAAGAAGUUGUUUCGCCCAUUCAACCUUGAGAUCUUCAUCUAAAUUGAACAAAAGUUUGACUUUCAUUGGGUCACUCAUAAUAAUUUGACUUAACUUCAAUAUNNNNNNNNNNNNNNNNNNNNNNNNNNNNNNNNNNNNNNNNNNNNNNNNNNNNNNNNNNNNNNNNNNNNNNNNNNNNNNNNNNNNNNNNNNNNNNNNNNNNNNNNNNNNNNNNNNNNNNNNNNNNNNNNNNNNNNNNNNNNNNNNNNNNNNNNNNNNNNNNNNNNNNNNNNNNNNNNNNNNNNNNNNNNNNNNNNNNNNNNNNNNNNNNNNNNNNNNNNNNNNNNNNNNNNNNNNNNNNNNNNNNNNNNNNNNNNNNNNNNNNNNNNNNNNNNNNNNNNNNNNNNNNNNNNNNNNNNNNNNNNNNNNNNNNNNNNNNNNNNNNNNNNNNNNNNNNNNNNNNNNNNNNNNNNNNNNNNNNNNNNNNNNNNNNNNNNNNNNNNNNNNNNNNNNNNNNNNNNNNNNNNNNNNNNNNNNNNNNNNNNNNNNNNNNNNNNNNNNNNNNNNNNNNNNNNNNNNNNNNNNNNNNNNNNNNNNNNNNNNNNNNNNNNNNNNNNNNNNNNNNNNNNNNNNNNNNNNNNNNNNNNNNNNNNNNNNNNNNNNNNNNNNNNNNNNNNNNNNNNNNNNNNNNNNNNNNNNNNNNNNNNNNNNNNCAUCCAACUCUUGUUCCAAAGGAUCCACAGGCAUCUCUCUUUUAAUGAGAUUAUGAAUAAGACAACAAGCAAGAAUGAUUUUGCAUUGUGUCUUUAUUGGAUAGAAACAAGGGCUCCUAAGUAUAGCCCAACGUAGUUUAAGCAAACCAAAACAUCUCUCGAUAACAUUUCUUGCUGCAGAAUGCUUCAUGUUGAAAAACUCUUCAUGGGUUGUUGGCAUGUGUCCAUCUCUCCAAUCAUUGAGAUGAUAUCUUUGCCCUCUAUAUGGGGCAAGAAACCCUUUUCCAUUUGUAUAGCCAGCAUCAACAAGAUAGUAAUAACCUAAAAUGAAUAUUCCAAAACAUAUUUUAAAAAAUAUAUCAUAUAUUAAAAAGAAAUCAAUUGUUUAUAAAAACCAUAUAUUUACCAUGUGGAACUGUCAGUCCAUUUCUCCUACUAACUGCAUCUCGAAGCACUCGAGAAUCAGAGGUUGAUCCCUCCCAACCUGGCAAUACAUAAAUAAAUUGCAUGUCUUGAGAACAAACUCCUAAGACAUUUGUUGCAAUUUCAUUCUUCCUUGUUCGAUAUCUAGGUUUGUCUCCCUCACGUACAUUCACUUUAAUGUAAGUUCCAUCUAAAGCUCCUAGACAAUUCUAUUUAAAUAAAAACAUUAGUAUUACUAUAAUAUGAAAUAAUUAAACCUAUAUAAACUUAAUUUUAUAAUUUAUAUACCUUAAACCAUUUCCAUCUCUCAUCUGUGGAGUUCUUAGAGACUGGUUCCGGUUUUUUGAGUAAUACUCCUUGUAGGCGAAUGACUGCAUUCAAUACUGCAUUGAAAUGUCUACUAAUAGUUUCUCCAGACCUUAAGAAUCGAAAUUUUAUAACUCGAUUCUUUACAUGAUGUGCAAGAAUAUGUAAGAAUAAUGCAACCAUUUCUUCUACAUCAAUAUAUUUUGAAUCCUUUAGUUUACCAAUAGUACGAAGCAUAGAACAUAACGUGGUGAAAGUAUGUCUAUCCAUCCUAAGUUGCUCCAUACAUGCUACAUCACUCCCAUGAAUCAAUCGAUUAAGAUUUUCAACUCGCAAAAAUUCUCUAUUUGCAGGUCUUUACAUCAAUGUUCGCCUCUGAUAAUGUUUCCUUGUAGUCGUACAAAGUGCAGUAAGCAUAUUAAGUAUGUUCACUAUAAUAUAUAGAAUCAGGAUAAGUUGUUCUUUUCUUUCCAUCUCAAUGAGGUCCAUGGCUAUGCAAGAGUCCUAAUCAUAAAGGAAGAAAACACCAUAAUAUUUAAUAUUAUUAAAUAUUAAUGUUCUAUUUAGAAUUAUGUAAAAAAAUAAACACCACCUAACUUUAAAUGCCAAUUUCAAAUUUUUAUUUUUAUUUUUUUGUAUAAAAGAAAAAUAAAAUAAAAUUAUAUAUUUUCAAAUUAUUUACACUUUACCUGAGAAAUGAAAAAUAAGCUUUAAAAGAAACUUCUCUUUUCCUUUCAUUUUUCUUUCUAUUUUUUUCCUUCUUUCUAAGAUGUUUUGCCUCAAAAUUUUCAACAACUGCCAUUGCUUGUGGAUGUGACUGUUUGAGUACAUAAUCAUUUCCCCUUACACUUUAAGCCAAUAAAAAGGGAAAAAGGUGGUAUGGGCAAUACAAAUAAGAAACUACGGCAGAGCCGAUGGUAUGGACAAUCAUCCUAUUGUGUAAUGAUAAAUUGCAACCCGGGGAAAGUGAAAGAAACCCAUUGUCAUUAAAACGAUAUGGACUUAAAUUAGCUCUGCAAAAAUUACCAUAUAAACUUUAAACCAAGGUUGGCUAGUGGGUGCUUGACAGCAGGUUAAUUUCAUUUCAAACAUUUUUCACCAUAAUCUAUGCAUUCUUUCUACCUGUCUAAUAUUAUAGUUCUUGAAUUGCAACUUUCAUAUUAAUGAUCUACGAGGUGAUUUGUGUGACACGAGAGAUAAAAGAAUUCCCGUAGGUUCUUAAAUAAAAUAAAGAAUUCUAAUUAUCACAGUCACGGAGAGCAGAACUGGGUGGUGGGGUGGGUGUGGUAAGAAGACUUCGUAUUACCGGAAUGACAACCCCAUGAUUUACUCAAUUUAAACAUAGCAGGAAGACAGUCUAAGUUGAUAAAGGAAUUAUGCUACAAUUAGUAGCUAUACCAGAGGCCUGAGUCAAAUCCCACCAGGGUCAAGGUUGGGGUUUUGUGAAUAUGGGGGGUGGUCCUCUGUGGAAAAGAAAGUUAUCUACUCCGACUUCUCAACAGCAGUACCAGAUUAUACUUAAAACUAUUAUCAAAUUGAAACAUCCGUUUAAUUUUAGAAUGACAUUAUCCUAACCAUUAAAAAUUUUAAAUAUUGCAAAGACGUGAAAUCGAAAAAUCUUUUUCCAACCAUUUCAAUUUUUCUCUCCAGUUUUCAUUAAUACAAUAUAAAGAAACAUCAAAUACAAGAUUCCAAACACAAAUUAAUAAAAAUAAAUAAAUAAUAAUCGAUUUAUAAAGAGGAAGAAACACAUAUAAAGAAGUAGAAGAAAAAAAAAAAAUAAGGUAAACCUGAUCGGAGAUGUAGAAGGGAGUUUUUAGAACUUAGUUGCAGCAAACAAUGACGAAUCCUAGACCCAACAAUCAAAAUGAACAUCCAAAACCCUAUAAAUUAGAAAUUGAUUUUUUUUUUUAAAUAUAGUGGAAGGUUUAAUUAAUUCAAUUUGGAAGAAUCACUUGUUGUAGAGAAUUGGAUGAUGAAUGGGUUUCUAGCUUUGCAAAGAAGAUAAGAAGUGGACGAUAAAUGGAUUUCUACCUUUACAAAGAAGAUAAACAUCUGGAAGGUUUAAUUAAUUCAAUUUGGAAAAAUCACUUGUUGUAGAGAAUUGGAUGAUGAGUGGGUUUCUAGCUUUGCAAAGAAGAUAAGAAGUGAACAAUAAAUGGAUUUCUACCUUUACAAAGAAGAUAAACAUCGGGUUUGAAGAACGAGAUAAGAGGGUAAAAUAGUAAUUUAGGUUAUUUUAUAUUAUCAAAUUGAUUUAAUGAAUCAGAAUACCACCUAUUUUUUAUGAAUGCAAAUCCGACUUAUAAGUUGAAUUUGAUUUCUGCCGGAAUAAUUUUUUAUUCCGUUUCCAUCAUCUUAACAUUUAUCCAAACAUAGGAAUAAGAGAAAAAAAGAAUGAGAUGUCUAUUCCCACUUCCUAUUCCCAUGUACCAAACACCCCCUUAAAGAUACUAAUAUUUGUGUUUUGAACAUGAGAUAAGGGACAAAUCACUAUCUUUAACUUGAAUUUAUGUUAAUGCAUGCUUUGAGAACUAAUACGCCAUCUUUUUUUUUUUAGUAUAAAAGCAUAAGAAGGGAGGAAAUGUAAGCAACUUGAUGUAAUUCUAGCAUUUGGGAUGGAAUGGAGGAGCAAAGAUGCAACAAGAUUAGCCCUAGUGCUUGCUAAUGUAAAUAAAUAAAUAAAUAAAUAAAUAAAUAAAUAAUAAAAGCGAAAAGGCAAAAGAAAACUACAAAGGCAUUCUAAAUUGGUUUAGGAGUAGCUAAAAGUGAUUUGGAGAAGCCAAAAUCGAUUUCAAAAGUUGAUUUAAUCAAUGUUAAAACCAAUUUGUGAAUGAGAAUUGUCAUAUUAAUGGAGUCUCACAUCAUAAAAGUGAUUUAGAGGAGGCUGAAAUCGAAAUUCCAAUCUUAGGUUAAAAGUUAAAACUGGUUUCCAUAUUGAAAUUUUGAUUUCAUCUUGUUGAAAUCAGUUUUUCCAAAAUUUACUGCAUAUGCCAAAUCAAAAUUUCACACUUUGGUUAAUUUGGUAUCAAAAUCUAGAUUUUAGGCAAUUUUGAUGUAAUUUCAACUAAUUAAGUUAUACGUUUGCUAUGGUGGCCAAUGAGAUUAGGCCAAGUGCCUUUUUAGGGUUAAGAUAUUUAUAUUUUCAUUUUUUUUUCAAGGUUACAAAGAUAACAUUUUUACAAUUUUGUUUGUAGUCACACUUUCUAGACUUUUGUUUCUUUCUUUUUAUUAAUAUCCCAUUUUUUUUCUUAUGGAAUUUGGGUGUGAAAUCUCAAUAUAAGAGAUUAAGAUCUUUAAUUUUGGAGAUGUAGCAUGAAGAUACAUGGAAGAUUUGGACAAAGAGCAUAAGAAAAGUAAUGUCAGAUUAAUUGAUCAUUAGGUUUUCAUGUUUACCUUAUUAGAAUGAGAUCAUCUAUGAAAUUAUGGUUAGACUAAGAUCCUAGUGAUACUUCUAAAACCAUUUGAUCACUAGUUAACAUAAUUUGAUAUACUAUCAUGAUUGAAUUGAAAAUUGAUUGUACAAGAUAGAUGAGUGGUACGAAUGUAUAAAUAUAAACCUCAAUUAACCAAUCUAUAUUAUUUAUUUUAGUGAAUCAUGUGAAAAGAGUAUAAAUGUCUUAAAAUUCAAUUUGAUCCCACAUUGACUUUGGUCCUAAACCCUAGAUCUAUGAUUUACUCUCUCUCUCUCUCUCUCCUUCUCUUCUUAUGAAUUUGAAGCUAAAUUUUGAAAACUCCAGAGUUGUUAUCAUAGAUUUGUCUUAAUCAAUUUAAUCUAAAUUCGGUCUUUUUAGAAAAACUUCUCUAUUAAAUUCACAAUUUUGGGUAUAAGAAUACUUUGUUCAAUACAUAAAUAGUCAAAUGUGUUAGUCUUUAAAGGAUGACAUCUAGAUACCAUACACCAUAACUAUCCUCUCUUUGUUUUUUCUUGGCUAUGAUUUCUAUAAUAAUAAAGAUUUUCGUUCUAAAACAUAGAGUAUCGAUAAAAAAAAAGUGUCAUUUUUGUUAGAGAUUGAAGAUUGUCUUAGUUUUUAGGAGCUUAGAGCUUGUUUUACGACGUGAUUUAAAAAUAGCUUUCUAUUUUUCUAAAAAAAAAUGACUUCUAAAAUUUAAUAGCAUUGUUUAGCAAUUGUUCUCUAGAAAUAGUUCAAAAAAAAAAAAUGAACGUUCUCUUCACUUGCUUUUAAAUACAAUAAGAGAACAUAGAGAAAUAAGAAUAAUAAUAAUUAAAAAAAUGAUAAUAUAAGAUUGUGGACCCCGCACUUCUGCACAUGCGUUCCACUCGAUGACGAAACUCGUUGUUUUUAUUUGUUUGGUGAAAUUUUGAUUUUUAGAAAAGAUUUGGAGUCACCACUUAUUUUUAUUUUAUUUUUAAGGGAAAACAAAAUAAGAAAGAAAACUCUAAGUGUGACUCCUUAUUUGGAAAAGACAGUCUAUGGAAAACCAAACUUGGGUUUGGGGGUCAAGUUACUUAUUGGGAAGGUAUGGUAAGGACCAUAACACCCCUCCAAACCCCUAAAAAUGGGUCUCUACUAAAUAAGGUGAAGCAAAUGUGGAAAUUGACAAGGAAAUUUUUAGCCCAAGGGUUCUCCUAAUCGGGUUUUGAUGGUAACAAACCAUGGUUAAGUGACUAAUUGGUUUAAAUGUUUAAGAAUCUCAGGUAUAAACUCGAAAAUUCAUCAAAGAACCAAAUGGAUAAAAGAUCGAGACGCUUGGAAGACUUGUGAUCAUAGGAAACUAAUGUAAGAUGAAUGCAUGAGUGCACUUAGGAUUUUCAUACGUUUCAUACACCUUAGAAAACUCGGUUUAUUCUUUAAAAUGUCGAUUUCAUUAAAACCUGAGUUUUUAACUAAUUUACCUUAGGCAAAAUGUUUCAAAAUUGGCUUAAUAAUUUACCUAAAGACCUUGCCUAAGUGUUAGAAAAAAAAAAAAGAAUCAAAAAAUAGGUUUUUCGGGGCCAAAAAGGCUCAACCGGUCGAGGCUAUGGCCAACCGGUCAACCGAUUAAGGAAUCGGUUGACCGGUUGAGGUCGUCCGAUCGAGGACCGGUCGAGGAAGGUCAAAAACCUUAUCUCUCUCCCAGUAGCCUUCUCUUCCCGGUCGAGGUGAUUCCCUUAUCGGUCGAGGUCCAGUCGAAGACCGGUCGAGGUCCGGUUGAGGCAACGGUAACCUGUCAUGCAUUAAAUGCUCCAACGGCUAGUGAACCGGUCGACCCCUAGCUCGACCGGACGAGGUUGCCUUUUGCUGUUUUUGACUCCCAAGCUUAAAAACCUAUAAAUUGAGAGCUCCACUUCAUUUAUUGACAAGAGAACACUUGCAUUCAAAGCCCACCUACCUGUUCUUGAUCAAAAAGCUCUUAUUUCUUUCAUAGUGCAUUAAAUUACCACUUGCAUAUCCUUUAGUGCACUCUUGUUUGUCAUCCUAGCUUUAUCUUGUAUUUGAGCCAUCUUUAAGCUAGGUUGAGUGAUUAUAUCUUGUAACAAUCCGAGUGUUAAAGCCUUCAAGAGGGUUGAAUCUUGAAGAGGUUGUGUAAGAGCCCAUUGGAGCCGGAUUCCAAGUGUAAGAAGAUUAGAAGCUUGGUUGAAGUUUCAUGUUAGUGGAACCUUCACUCGGUUAGAAGGUUGAGGAGAGUGGACGUAGGCAAGGAAGUGUCGAACCACUAUAAACCCAAGUUUGAAUUCUCUAAACUCUAUAUCUUUACUUUGCUCAUAUUUUGUUUAAAUUUGUUGUGAUUGAAAAGAUUUAAAAAACCCAAUUCACCCCCUAUUUUAGGUGUUUUUCUUAACUAAGCAUAGCCUUUGUUUUCUCAGAAAUCAAUGGAUACCAAUAAAAUGAUCGAAUAAUAAAACAAAUCGAGCAUGAGAAUGAAUAAAUAAAUGAAGUAGGAGUGAGAGCGUACCUUAGUAGCAAAUAAUAGUGCACUAUCAUGGAAAAAAGGUUAGCUCAAGUACAAAAUUUAUCGCAUGCAUAUCAAAGAGCAAGACAAAGAUCAAGCAAUAUUCAUUAAGGUGUGGCUCCUAUAGAGGUGCAAAAAUAAGUUUGAUAAGCCCACAAUGCAAACAAAAGCUUCUCUAACCAAUCUCGAGAAGUCUCAAUCAUCCUCUGCAAGAUCCUCUUAAUAUUCUUAUUCGCAUCCUCUACCACUUCGUUAGUCUGCGGCCUGUAUGCAGACGAUCUAUGAUGCUGGAUACCGUAUCUCUGUAAUAAAGUGUCAACAUCUGCUCUAAAAUGUACUUCUCUGCUCGAAAUCAACUCAUGAGGGACUUCAUAGCGACAAAUAAUGUGUGAUCUGAUGAAACUAGCGACCCCAAAUGAUUUCAAUCUCGCAUAUGAAGCAGCCUCCAUCCACUUGGUAAAGUAAUCAAUGAUGACCAAGAUGAACUCAUGACUACUGGAAGACUUUGGCGAAAUCUUCCCAAUAAUGUUUAUACCCCAUAUUGAAAAUGGUCAUGGUGAAUUCAGUGCAUGUAACUCUAAAAGGGGUAUGUAGAUAAGGUCUCUAUGAAUCUAGCACUCUCGACAUCUUUAAACAAACUGGCAAUAAUUUGUCUCCAUAGUCAACCAAAAAUAGUCGGUCUUCAUGACCUUACAAGCUAAUAUAUGUUCUCCCAUAUGUGGUCCACAAACUCCCACAUGAACCUCUCUCAUCACUCAAUCGGUAGAGGCGUGGUGAAAGCACAAUAGUAACAUCCCAUCAACUGAUCGUUUGUACAAUGUCUCCCCACAGAUCACAAACCGGGUAGCUAACUGUUUCAAUGCUCUCUUAUCCUUGGUUGUGGCGACCUCAAGAUAUAUGUCAAGUCUCAAAAACUGAUAUAUGUCAUGGCACCAAGGCAAACCAUCUUCCAACUCUGCCUCAUCAAUCAAGCAACAAUAGGUAGGAACUGAUCUCGACUCAAUCAGUAAAGGGCGAACAAUGGUAUCAGCGAGAAUAUCAAUCAUGGAAGCUAGAGUAGCUAAGGUAUCAACAAACUGGUUUUGCGCUCUAGGCAGAUGAGUAUAACUCAAAUCAUCAAAUUUUCCAACCACCAGCUCUAAGUAUGCAUGGUAAGGCUUAAGUUUCACAUCUUUAGUCUUCCAAUGGCCUUGAAUCUAUCUCAAUACCAGAUUGGAGUCACUAAACACCUCCAUCUGUCUAAUCUCGAGCUUAAGAGUUGUCUCUAAUCCCAAGAUACAAGCCUCAUUGUGGACCCGCAUUUUUCACGUGCGUCCCCACUCGAUCGGCGAGACUCACAUUCUAUUUGUGAAAAAUUAAUUUUAGAAAAGUUGGAGUCGCCACCUAUUUUAUUUUUAUUUUAAAGGGAAAAUAAAACAAGAAAGAAAAACCCUAAAAAGUGACUCCAUAGUUUUGGAAAAAUCAUGUCUUUGAGAAACCUAAGUCUAGGUCCGGGGAUUAGGUUACUUAUUGGGAAGGUACCUCUAGGAGAUAGCACCCCUCUAAGCCUUAAAGAGGUCUUUACUGACUAAAUUGGGGAAAUGGGGCAAUUAAUUGAUUAAUUGUAGAUACCUAAGUAAGCUAGGUGAUUUUAGAAAGUAGCAUGCUAAAUAAGGAGAUCAAUCACAAUAAAGGAGAGUUAGAGUGUGUACCUGAACCACUUCUUAAGCGCUAUCAUAAAACAUCAAUGGUUAAUUCAGAAGUAUGACACACGACAUGCAUUUUAUCAAGGAUGAUCAAACAAGCAUUGAGACAAUCAAGUAUGGCAUCAAACAAGGACAAUGACAUGCAUAUUCAUGAAAUUUUGGGAACGUACCUGGAUAGCAUAUAUAACUCCUAAUGCGCUUCCUCAGGACAUGGGGGUUAGAUAAUAAAUAAUAAAUAAUGAAUAAUAAAUCCUAGCAUGCUUAUCUAAUUAAUUAGCAAAAAUUAUCAGAAUUCGGAAUAAUUAAUUAUCAUACAUAUCUUGCAUACAAUUCCCAAAAAGAAAAAUGUAAAUAUGAUUACAAUAAAUAGCAAGGUGGUAGCAAAAAAUAAAUUUUGAAAAAGAUUUUCUUAUGUAGGGGUUUCACCAAUUCCCCAAAUUAAUAUACAUGAAUUUAGCCUAAAAUUGUCCCAUUUAUUUGGGACCACAAGCUUUGAUUCGCAUUUUGUUUAAAACCAAAAUUUUUGUUGAAAAUUGAGAAGGAUGCAAACCGAUCGAAAUAUGGUUGCAAAUUUUAAGAAAAUGAAAUUUUUUUUUUCUAAGGACUCUAAAUGAAUUCUUUUAAAAUAGAUUUUUAAAGGGAUCUUUUAAGAAAAGUGUUGGAUUUCAAAAUAAAAGAAAUUAAUUUGAAAACGACAAGACAUAAAGAACAAAAUACCAAGCAAAACAAAAGUUAUUAAAAUCGCAAAGUAGAGUUUUUGACAAUUGAGAAAAUUGAAGUGGUGGGAAUGGAGGUCAAUCUUCACUAUUUUCCAAUGGCCUCCGAAAAGUAAAUUUUACCAUAGACUACCAAAGCAAUAAACUAUUCGAACUUAGAUCAUAUAAGCUAACGAUCACUACUACAAAAAUUGAAAUUAAUGACGCUUUAUUUUAUGACGCUUUCUAAAAGCGUCAUUAUUGAGGGUAUACAAUGACGCUUAUAAGAAGUGUCAUAGUUGUAUUAUUUAUCUUGAUACUUAUUAUAAGUGUCAUUAUUUGAUGUCAUCUUUUUCCUUAUAAUCGUGUAUAUAAUGACGCUUAUAAGAAGCGUCAUAGUUUUAUUAUUUACCUUGACACUUAUUAUAAGCAUCAUUAUUUGAUGGGUAUGUAAUGACGUUCCUGAGAAGUGUCAUAGUUGUAUUGACUUUUAAAAUUUUUGUUUUAAGUUAACUUAUACAAAUUUUGAUAUUAGAAUUUUAUUCUAUAAAUUAAUUAUGGUAAAUUGACAUUAAUAUUAAUGACAUAAAGUUGCUAGAUUAAGGUUUUUUUAAAAAAAAUUGGAUAUAAAUAAAAUAAAAUCCUAAUAAAUUAUUUUUUUAUUGUUUGAUAUUAAUUUUUUUAUAGUUUGUAUCAAUACAAUCUAUUUUCAUAAACUAUUUUUCAUUUUUAUUAAAUUAGAAAUUAUCUUAUAUUUCAUUUAAAAAUAAUUUGUUAAUUUAUUUGUGGACCACAAAAAAGUGGCCUAUUUUGAGCACUUGUUCGAGCCUUGGGCCACAUUUAUUGGGUUUAACCCUUUUAUUUGAGAAUGUUUUAUAGUUAAUGAAUAUAAAUUUGAAAUUAUUUAACUAAAAUGAAAUAAAUUAAUAUUUAAAUUAAUUUAAUGAUGAUUAGACUCACAAUAAAACUAAAUGCAAUAAGAAUAUUUAUAAAAACUUUCUAAUAUUUAUGGGAAUUAAGCUCAUUCUAUUAAAUUAGUUUUUUUUUUAAAUAUCAAUAUUCAAAUUAAACCGACAUCAACCUAAAAUAUCAAAUAAUUAAACAAUAUAAAUUCAUUAUGAGUUCAAUAUAUAAAAAUUAUUAUUGGAAGAUGAAAUAAAGAAUACUAUUUUAAUAUAUUGAAAAAGGACAUGCAUGGUAUUUUAGAAUUUGUUAUAAAGUCUCCAUUGAAAACCCUAACUUUUGGAAGACAAGAAAGAAGGGAGAGAGCCACCGUUUUUAAUGAGAAAGAAGAGAAGAGAGAAAAAUGCAAGUUUUUCUCAUCAUGCCCAGAUUUCAUCAAAGGUUUGAUCCCACUUCGUCCGUGGUCCGAUCGAGCUGAAAUUUGGAGGAGAGUUUCGUGACUCAUUUAUCUUCAAUCUGAACGAUGAAGAUCGGAUUUGGAGUUUCGGAAAGUCAUUAGAAAGAAAGAGGAGAAGAGAGAAAAACGUAGGUUUUCUCAUCAUGCCCAGAUUUCAUCAAAUGUCCGAUCCCGCUUCGUCCGUGGUCCGAUCGAGUUGAAAUUUUAAGGAGAGGUUCGUGGCUCAUGUAUCUUCAAUAUGAACGGUGGAGAUCGGAUUUGGAGUUUUGGACAGUCAUUAGAGAGAAAGAGGAGAAGAGAGAAAAACGUAGGUUUUUCUCAUCAUGCCUAGAUUUCAUCAAAUGUCUGAUCCCGCUUCGUCCGUGGUCCGAUCGAGUUGAAAUUUGAAGGAGAGGUUCGUGGCUCAUGUAUCUUCAAUAUGAACGGUGAAGAUCGGAUUUGGAGUUUCGGACAGUCAUUAGAGAGAAAGAGGAGAAGAGAGAAAAAUAGUGGUUUUUUACAUCAUGCCCAGAUUUCAUCAAAUGUCCGAUGCCGCUUUUUUCAUGGUCUGAUUGAGCUGAAAUUUGAAGGAGAGGUUCAUAAGUCAUUAAUCUUAAAUUUGAACGGUGAAGAUCGGAUUUAGAGUUUUGAAAAGUCAUCUUUCAGCUAAAAACAAAACCUUUAUUUUAUCAAAGAUGACGCUUCCUGAAAGUGUCAUUGUUGCCUAAGACAUACAAUGACAGAGGCGAAGAGGACGCUUUAGAGAAGCGUCAUCUGUUACCUUUCUUGACGCUUAAAAAACGUCAUUGUUUCCCAUUUUUCUUGUAGUGGAUAUACCCACCAAGAAUUAAUGACUAUUUUCGAGAAACACAUCAAUUAAAAAUAACAAUCAAGAAUUAGCACAUGAUCAAUCAAACACACAAACGCAUCUAGACUUGUUAAAAUGGAUGAAAUUAAGUCAAGGCAAAUGUGAAUUUUCAGUCAUAAAAUUAAUUUUUUUAAUAAGCUAAUAUUAUAAAAAAUACCUAAACUAAAUAGAUGAGUUAAAUUUAACCAAGGUAGACUAAAAGAAACAUGAUUUUUUUCACAUAAAAUUGAUUAAACCAAAAAGUUAGAAACUCACAAACACAUCUAAACUAAAAGAAAAAUCAGCACUAAAGUAAAUUGAAAUGAAAAAAAUAAGAACUUUAUCAUGUAGAAUUAAUUAAACUAAUUAUAAAAAAACAUCUAAACUAACGAAAUAAAUUAAAAUUAAACUAAAAUAAAAUUUAAAAAAAGAAAAAGAAACUUGCCUUCAAGAAUGCAUAUUGCUGAAUCUAUUGUAGGAAGACCGCUCUUGGAUGCGUGCCUUUCUUUGCGUGUUUCAGGAAAUCAUCUCUUAAUGCGUGGCUUAUGUGGCGGCCAUCUUCCUCUUUCCAUAAGAUACAAUUCCAUAAGUACCCGAACCAAGUUCUUUUAUGUAUUCUAGGUCAGAAUUUUAUUUUAUUUUUUAUAAUCUGCAGCACUCUAGUGGCUAGAAGAGAAUAAAAUAUGGCCUGGUUGUGUAGUUGACAAUGACGGGAAUUGGAGGAUUCAUCGUUUUCAAAUAUGCAUGGAUGGAUGGGCUGCUGUCCAGAUGGUUCCGUCAGUGAGUUCAAACAGCCACCUCUUUGCUCUCAAAUCUCCUUGCACUAAUCCCUUCAAAACAGCCCCUCUCACACUCUCUAAACUCUCUCUUUUAUAUCCCUUGAAAUAGCCUCUCGCAUGCUCUCAAAACUCUCUCUUCGGAUCAUCUCAAACAACAACUCCUCACGCUCUGAAAAUGCGGACUGAUCUUUGUGCGGACAGCAGCCUAUGAUCCCUUCAAAACGCCUACUAAUCUCUUCCCAAACGGCAUCCUCAAAGGCUCUAAAAAAUCCCUCAUCCGUUCACUUCAAACAGCAGCCUCUCACGCUUCAAAACGCCUCCUGAUCUCCCCCCAAACGGCAGCCUCUCCUUCCAUGGAAUACUCUGUUUCUUUGUUUUAAUCUCCGCGGAUAUAUGGAAAGUGCAUAUGUGGUGACUCACUUAGAGAUUCUAUAGGAUGCAGUCGUGUGUCCUCCUUGGUAAGUAAUCAAAUCCUUACCAUGUUGACUUUUCUUUCUAAAAAAAAACAAAAAGAAUCUCCUCACAGCCCACUAUAUGCGUAUUGUGCACUAAUGGUGGACUGCAUGUCCACUUCUCCUCAUUCAUGGACUGUGUUCUCUCAUGCGGAGUGCGUGUUGUGUCCAACUCUUUCAAGCAUGCAGCCGCUUUGCUUAUGGCAGCAUGUGGAUGAAGAAUUGAUGUGCAAAUUGGAGGUGGACCAAUCAUGGAGGUUCAGGAAUCGGGAUGCCAAUGUUGCUAUCAGUUUUCCUUUCCUCUCUUCAAUGCGCCCUGAAAAUGUAUCAAAAAUGGUGCGGCUGGUUGGUGGUCGUCUUCCCAAUGGUGCAAUUGCACCUUUAUCCUGAUCAGAAUCUGUGUCCGCUCCAUUCAAAAAGCUGGUGCAUCCCUCUUCAAAAAUCUGGUGCAUCUCUCUUUCAAGAAUCCCAUCAUACUCCCUUCCAAAAUUUGGUCAUCUUUCCCCUUAACAAUCUCGUGUAUCCUUUCAAAAAUCUGAUCAUCUUUCUCUGCUCCCAUCUUGCACCCAUAGGGAUCCUUCAAUAUGUGGACUGUCCAGAUCUUUCACAUGCGUGCUGGCCACUUACCAUCCUUGCAUGGUGAUAUCUUCCUUCCUUUUUUUUACAGGAUUCUUUCCAAGUCUCUUUAUUUGGCCGUGAUCUUCUCUCAUUCAUGGCUCCAAGUCUCAUGCAAAAAUUAAAAAUAAAAUUGAAAUAAGAAAUGGGAAUUAUGAUCAAAAUGAAAUAUAACGAAAUAAAAUAAAAUCUCAAAUCACAUAGCCACAAAAUCCAAGAUAUCAAUUUAUGGGAUUAAAGAAUAAAUAAAUAAGUAGGUAAAUAAACAAAUAAAUUGAUAAAAGUAUAAAAAUAAAUAUUAGACGUAUGCAAUUAGGAAAAAUCAAGAAAUUAAAUUAAUGCAACAGAUUAUAAUAAUUUAAAUGUCAAACUCAAAACCAUUAAAAAUCAUAAAAUUCAUUCAUGCAAUAAAAAGUCAAACAACACUCAUCUUAUCCCGAAAAAUAAGUAACCAAAAUCAAGAUCAUGCCUAAGAGAACUAUGCCAAAAGAAGUGUCUAAGUGACCUAUUUUGAAAGACUGUCUAAGUAACCUAGGGUGAAUGUGUGCAAGCUAGAAGGUGCUAAGUGCAUCUAAAUUGGCCUAAGGUGGUGCCUAAUGGGCCAAAUGUAUCUAAAUGGGUCUAGGGUGCCUAAGUGGGCCUAAGUCUAAGUGAGCCUAAGUCUAAAUCAAGACUACCAAGGAUCAUAAUAAGGGGUUAGGCAAUCCCUCAACCAAAGUCUCCGAGGUGGCUCAGAAAAAGUAAGUAGUAUGAGUAGCUAUGGGUCACCAAGGAACUACUGUAGAGCCUUGGAAAUGAACUUAAAGGCAUGUGCUAAAGAGACAAAAUUAAGGGUCUACACUCAUACUCAACAAUAUUGUUCAUGGCAAGGUGUCGACCAGAGAAUGCCAAACGAACAAAUCUAGGAAUGUGGUCAUCGUGAUGGGAUAUCAGUAGAACACCUAUCCCGUAUCCAAAAUGGUUGGCCGCAACAUCAAAGUACAUGCGCCAACCUGACGAAGUAGUCACUGCAGCGAUAUCCUCAUCUAGAAAGUCAUCAUCAAUAGCUCUACCAUCAUAAAAACUAGUAAUGAGGCUAAGUGAUCUACAACAAUGCUCCAUCUGAUAGACUUUUGAGUGACAUAAUGAAUAUCGAACUCAAUCAGGAGUACCAACCAUCUCAUGAGUCGAUCAAUCAAAGCAAGCCUGUCAAACAAAUAUCUCAAAGAAUCUAGACAAGAUAUCAAGUGCACUGAAUACUCCGUCAUGUAAUGUCUCAAUCUCUUAGUAGCUCAAACCAACGCCAAACAGAAACGUUCAAUCAUGACAUAUCUUGUCUCAUAAUCAAGCAUCCUCUUACUCAAAUAAUAAAUAGCUCGCUCAUUUCUAGAAUCAUUGAGCUGAGCUAACAUGCAUCCCAAGGCUAUAUCUGAGACUGACAAGUAUAGGAAUAAGGGACAACCUGGUGUAGGAGGCACCAAGACUAGAGGCGAAAACAAGUACUCCAUGAUCCUCUCAAAUGCACGCUGACACUCAUCAUCCCAAACAGGAGGUCGACUCUUCCUCAAGAGUAAAAAAAUGGGCUUGCAAAUAUCUGUCAAUCUGGCGAUGAAUCUACUGAUGUACUGGAGUCUACCUAAAAAACCUUUGAUCUCUCUCUCAGUCCUCGGCGCAGGCAUGUCAAGGAUGGCUCUGAUUUUAUCUGGAUCUAUUUCUAUGCCUCUCUCACUGACCAUGUAUCCUAGAAGUCACUCCAAAAGUGCACUUCUUAGGAUUCAGUCCUAAUCUGAACUGUCUGAUCAUAUCAAAGAAUCUCUUUAAGGCUGUUAGGUGAUCUACUCUAUCUUGAGAUUUCACUAUUAUGUCAUCUACAUAGACCUCGACAUCCCAAUGCAUCAUGUCAUGGAAAAGGAUAGUCGUUGCUCUUUGAUAAGUAGUUCCUGCAUUCUUCAACCCAAAUGGCAUAACUUUGUAGCAGUAAGUACCCCACUCAGUAAUCAAAGAUGUCUUCUCCAUGUCCUUUAGAGCCAUCAUAAUCUGACUGUACCCAAAAAAUCCAUCCAUAAAGGACAACAUCGAAUGACCUGUUGUACUAUCAACUAGCAUGUCAAUGUGUGGGAGAGAAAAAUCAUCCUUGGGAUUGACCUUGUUGAGAUCUCAGAAAUCAACGCAGACUCUCACCUUGCCAUCCUUUUUGGGAACGGGGACGACAUUGGCCAACCACUCAGGAUACUCAACCACUGAUAAAAAUCCCACACUAAGCUGCUUCUGAAUUUUUUCUUUCACAUGCAGACUCCAACGAGGAUGCAAUCACCUCAACUUCUGCUUAAUCGGUCUAGCAAGGGGCAGUAGUGGCAAGUAAUGCUAGACUAUGGAUAGAUCAAGGCUAGAUAUGUCCUCAUAAGACUCUGCAAGUGAUGUUGGACUAUGGAUGGAUCAAGGUCAGACAUGUCCUCAUAAGACCAUGCAAAGACAUCCAAAUAUGAUAUGAGUAACUGGACAAGGCCACCACUCUCAUCUGUAAACAAAUCCAAUCCAAUCCUCAGCUCCCUAGGCUAGUCUGUUGUACCAAAAUCAACAAUCUCAACGUCUCUUGUGGUAGGUGAAACUCUCUGAUCACUAGGACUCAAAUCAGAAGCAAAAGAAGAGUCUGCAUCUGAAUCGUGAUGUACAAUCUCAUCAUCUAUAUCAAAUAUUUGUGAUGUGGGUGAAUGAGGUGCAGAUAAAGUGUUAUCACAAUAAAUAGGCAAAUACUCAAAAAGACUCAUAUCCAUAUAUGAAGAAAGAGUCAGUACAUCAUCAGAAUGGGAGACAAACCCGACAGUACAUCAAAAGAAAGUGGUGGGUCCACAUGUUUGGACUCUACCAUGACUGGGCUAUUAACACCCACAAAUACAUCAUCAUCAACUAUAUCAUCCUUUGAAAACUCCAGAGCAGGAGCAAUCUGGAUCUCCUCAGCAACCUCGAUGGCGGACACCCCAAAUAGAUCAAAUGGAGAAGCAAACUCAGGUUGGACUAUCCCAUCAAUCUGACUCAUACUCAUCGCGAGCAUCUCAUCAAUGUACCUGUCGUGUGGAACAACUCCAUCCACCAUGUCCCUAAUCUCAGCAAAUGUCCCAUGCUCGUCGACCUCAUCCUAGAAAUAGAGUGUCAUGAGGCUCAUAUGAUCUGGAGAUGAUGGGGUGGCUAAUGUAGAAGCAGAAGUGCCAGGAGCUCCAUCACUCAACCGUAGCUAAUGGACAAGACGCUGAAGCUCAGCCUCCUCAACAGUGUUGAAUCCAUCAAUAAUCCCACUUGAAUGCGUCUAUGGCUCCGGUGCCCUCACAAAGUAGUCCGCCAAGCUCAUGUUGUAUGAGCAAAUAGGAUAGUCAAAUGGUGUGUGAGUCAAUCGGGCUCUCACUCUCUCCUUGCGCAAUCACACCAUAUAUCAAUAAUCGGCCUCAGUAGGAAUAAACUCAAAUCCAAAUGGUACAUCACGAUCAACGAUAGUUAUAAGCUCAUUGGGCUCAUGCUGACAUCGCCCUAAUCCCAUGCUCGGCAGAAAAGACAUGCUCCUCAUCAUGUCAAGCACCACUGUACUACCAUGCUAAUCAAAUGACAUAGCCACAAAGUCCCUACAAAAAUCCUCAAUCUCCAGAGUUUACACCUCAUCAAAUAUGAACCCAGUAAAAAACAAAUCAUCCUCAUUGUGACUAAUCUGAAGCACUGGCUUGGAAGAAGCAAACAUAUCUCCAAUAGACCACACCGUGAUGACUUGGCCAUCAUGAAUGAACUUCACCUUCUGAUGAAGGGAAGAAGGAAUGGCCCCAGCUCUAUGAAUCCAAGGUCGGCCAAUAGUAGGUUAAAAGAUGUAGAAAUCCUCAAAACCUGGAAUAGAGUAGGAAAUGUAGUCGGACCUAUCAAUAGCUCGAUCUCCAAAGUGCCCAUGACCUUCCUCUUAAUGCUAUCAUAUGCUCUGAAUUUCUGAGUAGAGGGACCAAAGUUUGAGGACGCAUAGCCGAGGGCAAUGACAUAAGCUAAGGGACAGACGUUCAGGGUUGGGCCAUCGUCCAAAAUGACAUAUGGGACUUGGUGGCCUGAAAAACCAACUGAGAUGUAUAGAGGACAUGUAUGGUCUGAACCCUCGGGUGGCAAAUCAUCAUCUAAAAAUAUAAUGCAAGUGGCUCUGCCAACUGUCAUAAUGUGAAUCAACCCCUCGAGAAUAGUGGUAGUCUCGACUCUAAUCUAACUCAAGGCUCAAAUCAAUGCAUCUUUAUGAGUGCUAGAAGAUGCCAAUAAGCUCCAAAUAGAUAUACAAGUCUGGGUACUCUACAACUAUAUCAGAAUAUCAUCAUCAUCUCUCCUGACCUUCUCAUGAGAGGCUGCACCCUCCAAGGGUCUAGCGGUUGUGAAGGGUUGCUGUCAUACUACCCUACCUCUGUGAAUAACAUAUUGUAUAUCUGGAGUAUGAACAUCAUCAACAUAUGGAGUAUGUACCUCAUCAACGUCUGGAAUCAAAACAAACGAAGUCUGAACACUAUAACAUGGAAAAAUCAAUGGCUCGACUAUAGUCAACUAUACUGAUGUCACAUCGAGAACCAACCUGAAUAGUGUGGGCAUCCAUGGGCCCAAGGUCAUUCUACCUACCUCAUAAAUCCCAUCUACUACUAUAGGCUCUAGCACUGACUCAUCCCAACUCAGCAUGUGGAUAUGAUCAUAUGGCUUAGUGAAAUCCAUGAAAUGUAUACCGUUGGCUAGCAGAGAGACUGCAUGUGAAGUAUAAGCUAGCAGAGGGUUAGUGGUUACACUUGGCUAACCCAAUGAACCAAACCCUGAUCUAUCAAGUCCUCGAUGGCGUGCCUCAAAGUAGUGCAAUGGUCCGUGUCAUGCCCUAGACCCUGAUGGUAAGAACAAUGUAAAUCCAUCCUGAAGCGAGGUGGCAUGAGUUGAGGUAUAUGCCGAGGAGCUAACUGAGUCAACAAACCACCCUCCAUGAGCUUUUAGAAAGCUCGGCUCAAAGGCAUACCUAGUUGGGAGAACUGUUGUGUCGACCUUUGUACAAAAGAAAUAAUAGUCUGUGGGGCUCGUGGCUGAGGGUAUAAAGUAGGAGGUCUCUCUAUGACAUGUGCAGCAAAAACAGGUUGUGAGACCAGAUGUAGAUAAGUAGGAGUCAUAGGUUUGGAGGAAAUAGGUGGCCUAUACUGAACAUGAGGUGGUGGUGGGUAGUAGAAUCCAGAAGGCUGCCCAACUGUCUGAUAGCGUCUAGGAGGUCUCAACCCUGUUGAACUGAUAGCACUCACAUCUUCUAAUCUUUGUCCUCCUAAAGGCUGCUUUCCCUAAGAGUCAGUAGGGGAAGACUCGACCAUAAUCCUCUAGUUAUGUCCUCCUCUAUACCAUAUAAAUCAUGUACCAAAGAUCCAAAAUCCGUAUGAGAAAAUCCCAUCAAGUGCCUAGCAAAUCAAGGCUGCAAGCUCCUCAUGAUCAUACUAAUCUGAUCAUUCUCCGAAGGAUGAUCAAUAACCUGUGAAAUCUUCUCUCUUUAGCGAGAGAUAAAUGAGGUGAUCGACUCAUCUAGCCUCUAUCUCAAAGCCUCUAACUCUCUCAUCGAAACAUCAAUGACAAUGUUAAAUGCAAACUGUCUCAAGAACUUCUGGGCCAAAUCAUCCCAAGUUCGGCGGCGUGAUACAUCCAAUGAAGCAAACCAACGUUGUGCCACACCACUCAGGGAUAUAGGAAAAAACAUAACCAUCUGGGCCUCAUCCAAUCCAUGGGCCCUCAUAACCGUACUGUAAAGCCUCAAAUGGAUGCAAGGAAAGCCAAUGUCCGUGUAUUUCUCAAUCUUAGACAUCCUAAACUUUGUCGAUAAACUGGCCACUGGUGCUCCAUUAAAAUCCUCCUAAGUAAUAGCUCCAUCUGAAGUCUUCAUCUGUCUCAUCCUCUACUCAAGUCUAUCCAUACGAGCAUGUGGGUCCUCUGAGAUCGGGGUAGGCACUAUGACAGGAGGCAAGGCAACCUCAGUCUGACUCUAUAAAGUAAAUGAUAUAGGUUGUGAAACUAUCUGACCAAGUGGGAGAGGUGGCAGAAUAGUGGGAUCAUACUGCACACUCUCCUAAACUGGAACCUUUUGGGUUUGCUACCCAUCCAUCCUUUGAUCAAGACUAGUUAUGGCCUCCUGGAUCGAAGCCAUAGCAGCAACGAACUGAUCAAAUGUAACCACCUACGAAUCCAUAUCUAUCUGAUCUAACUGGUCUGAUACUCUGAUCAAUCUACCUUUAACUCUGAUCUAAGAAGUUAAACCCAGAUCAAACGUAUCAAUACACCUACAAUAGUGGAAAUACUAGAUAAGAUAUUGUGUAAGGGAAACUCUACAAGGAGUGUCUAUCAACUAUGCAGGAAGGUAACCUGGAAGUAUUCAAACUUAUAUCUAAUUCUGAGCAAAUAUAUAAGAGACUACUAUGAAGGUAACUAAAUUUAUCACUACUGACCCGGCUCUGAAGGCCCAUAGAUGCACCCACGUGUAGGAAAGGAAAUUCUGAUCGAAUAAUCGAAGGCUCAACCUAUAAGGUCAAGGUGGCUCUAAAAAAAAAAAAAGAUGGACUUUAAAGGAUCCCUAGCAGAAGCGAUCAUACCCUUCAACAGUAUGCAACCCUCUGCACGCCUUUGAAAAGACGAGGCGCUUCCAUGCAAGGUGGUCAUCACCUCUACACAUGCACUACCUCGACAUCGUAAGGGGUUUUGCUAUAGUGAAAGCUCUCACAACUCUCAGCACUCAGUAGUCAACUAAAGUGCAUAGUGAGUGGUGCAGGUGCAUCCGAAAAACCUAUGAAGAUAAAGUAGAAAAAGAAACACAUUAGUCACACAAAUAUCCAUGAAACCAGCUCUAGGCUAUUCAGGUCUUCAAAGAUCAGACUCCAAUCAAUGUGUCGGCCUCCUCAAGAAUGCUCCUAAACAUCAAUAUAGCCCAUCACUAUACCUUACUCCUAACCACUAGCUCGGUCAUAGAAACAAGUACACACAAGGCCUCACACUUGCAAAUAUAAGAACCGAAAUGAAGGAAAUGACCGAAACCAAAGGGUUGGAGGUAAGGGGAUAGAUGUGCGAUCCACACAGACAAGCAACAUACAAUCACAUAGGAGAAGAUUAGUUAUGCAACAAGCAAUCAAGCAGAGCGCAAAUAUAUCAUCCAUGUCCAUACACAAGCCAAACGAAAAUAUGACAAUCACAAUGACUAGCAACAAGGAUAGCAUGCUCAAAUAUAAUCAAGAUAACAUACAAGAAAGAUAAUCAACACUAAGACAAAUAAGAGAUGCAGCAAAGUGAACAUACAUGUCAAAGUGAGUAGGAUAAUCAAGGCAAGAGCAAGAUCGAUCAAUAUCAUCAGCAUGCCAAUGUCGCAAAGGGAUAUAACAAUUAAGCAAAGAAAAUCGUUGCAUCAAAAUCCUCAAUGUGCUAUGAUCACUCAAGCAUUGAAAAUUGUAAUUUUGAAAAAUUAUUUGAAAAUUGGAGUUUUGAAAAUUAAAUUUAAAAAUUAGAAUUUUGGAAAAUUAAAUUUAAGAAUUGGAAUUUUGGAAAUUAAAUUUGAAAGAAAUUGGAGUUUUGAAAAUUAAUUGAGAAUUGGAGUUUUGAAAGUUAGUUUUAAGAAUUGGAGUUUUGAAAAUUAAUUUUGAAAGAAAUUGGGGUUUUGAAAAUUAAUUGAAAAUCGGAGUUUUAAAAAUUAAAUUUAAGAAUUGGAGUUUUGAAAAUUAAUUUUGAAAGAAAUUGGUUUUUUUUUUUGUUUUCAUAUUCUCAUAAACGAAAAAUGGAAACUAAUGAAUAAAAAUAAAAAUUAAAGAAAAAAAAAAGCAUUUAAAAUAUAUAUCAAGAAAGAAAGAUAUUGAUCACCUAUUUCUUUCAACAUAAGUUCCUCUAAGUAAAAUGAUAAGGUUGCCACUAUGGUUUAAUCUCAGGAGGUUUAAGAGCACACAUCUUGGGGGAAGGUUUGAGAGCACAUCUUCAAUACGGGAAGGUUUGAGAGCACAUCUUUAAUAGGGGAAGGUUUGAGAGCACAUCUUCAAUAGGAGGAGGUUUGGGAACACAUCUUUGGUGGGAAAAUAAGAUUGAUAACUUCUUCUUUUUUAAAUAUAUACUACUAUUAAAAAUGUGAGGUGUUUGUCAAUUUUUUCAUUCCAAAAAUAUCUGACAACUCCUUUUAAUUCUAAAAAUACUUCUCAUCAAUUUAUUAAUAACAAUAUAUUAAUAUUUAAUGUUACAAAAUGUAUUCUAUUAUCAUAAUCUAUUAGUAUCAAAUGACAUUAUACAUUUUAUUCUCUUUAGAACCUAUAAUAUUCUUUGACUCUUGAUGAUGUGCCUAAGCCCCAUAUUUUCAAUGCCCACAUAAGCCUUUUCUAUCAUUUUCUCCUCUCCAUGGUCACAACAGCUUCUUCUUCAAGCUUUUAGAUUUUUCUUUGCAAAAUUGCCAUCUUAAUAUUCCUCUUCGCCACAAAUGGCAGUCGAUUCAAGACUAUGUCUAGAGUUAUGGUCAUGGUUCUGGAAGGUUUGGAUUGAUGAAAGUGUUAUGUUAGGGACAAGAGAGAGUUUCAAUGAAAUGUAAUGUUUUGGGGAAAGCUAAGAAUGACAAUGGUGGCAAAGAAGGUGUUCAUGAAAAGAACAAACAGUUUGUGUGGUGGUUUCGGGAGGCGUGGUUGUAUUUUCACAUUCAUAGGGGUGACACGUUUGUUGUCAUAAUUUUUGGUGAAAUUGUUGUCAAUUCUUACUUGGAACCCAUACUGAAGGCACAUUUUCUAUGAAUUUCUUUUCCUCUGUUAAUUUAGUUUGAAUGAAUAAACUGUUAUUGUGUUUCAUAAAAGCAAUAUGGAGGGUUGGUUUGGAUAGUGGUGAUACUCUACAUUCAGAUAUGUUUUCCUUUUGUAUUUUGGAAACUAAUGAAUCAUAACAUGCUUAUUGGUGAAAGGAGAUUGUUGUUUAUCCCCUAUUUGUUUAAAGAGAAUGAAUUGUGUUUGUGGAGUUGACAAUUGAAGAUGUUGACUGUGAUUUAAAUCCAAAUAGUUUUAGAGAAUUGGUCAAAUAAAUCUCUGAUAAAUAUUUUUUUUUAAUGAAUUUACAACUCUUAUCUAAGUAAUUUAUCGCAUUGAUGGUAUCUAUGUAUAUCAAUUAUUUGUGUUCUAAUUUAUUGUGAUUCUAUCUCGUGUUAUUAAUCAUUUGGGUUAUUGGAUUUUAACAUUUUGAUUUUUAUCAUUUCCCAUAUUUUUAAUUCAUUGCAUUUUUGUUCGUUGUGAAUGUUAUUUAUUUAUUAUUUUAGCACUCAUUGGGUUUUUUGUGAACACAAUUAGAUCAACUGUUGUUGCCAUUAGUGUUUUUGAUGAUUUUGCUUACAUGUUUAUUAGGGAAAUAUUAGAAUUCAAGGUGUUUGGUACAUUUGAGAGGUAAUCCAAUUUAGUAUUAGAGUAUACCUUUUUUUUUUAAUGAAUCCUGAUUUUUUUUUUUUAUUGGGAUCAAAAUUUGUUACUUACUCUAGAAAUUUAGUAUUUUUGUAAAUACUUUUAAUUUUUCUAAUUAUAUUUUUUUAUAAGUAUUUAGAACUUAAAGGUUUUACUGAAAAGAAAAUGAAGUUAGUAGUUUUAAAUUGAAAUUAGUCUUAUUUCUUAAGGUUUUUUUCCUUUUUCAUUUUUAGCUUAAUUGAAUCUAGAACUUUCUUGUACAUUAUAAUUCUAAAAGAAGUUUUAAUUACAACCUAUUAAUAUUUAAUGUUACAAAACGUAUUCAUCCAUUAAUAUCAAUCACAAAAUUUAUUAAUAUUUAAUGUUACCAAAAUCUAUUAAUUAUUCCCUUUAAAAUCACCCUAUAACAUUAUAAAAUAUUAUAAUUAAUACAUUAUCUAACCAACAAUUAAGAAUUACCCCUUCACUCUUCAAAUUUCUUAUGAUGACAGUUUCACUUUUCAUUUCUAAAGUUUGAAAACUUUUUAAAUUUCUCAUAACCUUUUCCUCUUUGAAGAGAAUUAAGAAGUUUUUGUAAAUUGGCACUCCCAAUUUGAAUGAAGUACUAUUUGGUGAGUUUUUAUUUAGUGUUCUGAAUGAUUUUACUUAAAUGUUUGUGUUACUUAUGAGAAUAAUUUGAUUACUUUGUUGAAUUUUAUUUUUAUGAUUUUGACCUUUUUAAAACAAUACUCAAUUCUUUGAGGAGUUUGUUGGAUGUGAGUUGGAAGAAAAUUGAAAUUUAAGGUAAUUGGUAAAUUUGAGAGGUAACUAAAUUUAGUUUUCAAGUAUACAUUUUUUUUGUAAUGAAUUUUAAUUCUUUAUUUUAUAAUUCAAUGUUUAUUAGAAUUGAAGUUUGCUACUUAUUAUAUAAAUUUAGUAUUUUUGUAAAUACUUUUAAUUUUUAUUAUUUUUAGACAAGUAUUCACAAGUUAAAUCUUUUAAUAAAAAAAAUAAAGUUAAUUGUUUCAAUUGAAAUUUGGGUAAAUGUUUCUAGAGUAUGUUUUUCUUCAUUUUUUGUCUUAUUGGAUCUUAAUUUUAGAAUAAUUAGAACUCUCUAAAAAAUAAAAUCCAUAUUUUUUUUAAUAUAAAUUACCAUUCUAGAGCUAAAUGCAUUUCCUUAUUUUAUAAUUCAAUGUCCAAUAAUAUGCAUAGGAAUUGGACAAUAUAGUUUUUUGUUUUAUAAUCCAAUAUCUAUAAUAAUUGGAAACUACAGUUCCUUAUUUUAUAAUCCAAUGUCUAUAGGAAUUAGAGAUUCUUAUUUAUGCUAUAAAUUUAGUAUUUUUACACAUUCUUUUAAUUUGUCUUAUUUUGUUUCUUUUAAAUUUUAUCUUUAACCAAUAUUCACAACUUAAAUCUUAUAAUAGGAAAAGUAAAGUUCCUUAUUUUAAUUGAAGUUGAGGUAAGUGUUUUUCAAGAUUUUUUUUUUUUUUUUCAUUUUUAGUUUAGUUGGAUCUUCACUUUGGGAUAACUAGAAUUUUCUCAUAAUUUUUGUUUGUUUGUUUUUUUUAAAUACCAACCACUAUACUAAAAUGAAUUAAAAAUAACUACAUUUAACAAUUUGAGAAUGAAAUAUCAAGUAUAUUUGAGAGAUCAAAAACAAUUUUUAUUCUUACUAAGAUAUUUGUCUUUUUAUUUGCUCAUGGUUCUUGUUGUUAUGACUUUGUAUUACAUUCCAGAAACAUAUAGUUUUUCCUUAUGUAAAUAAAUUGAUAAAAUUAAAGGAAAUUGACAAGGAAAACAUAAAAAUAAAAAGUAUGUUUGAAUAAAUAAUCCAAUUUUUUUUUUUUAAUAUUCAUCUACUUUUCAUAAAAUUAGGACAAGUAAAAGUUACAUUUUGUUGUCCCUAAAUUGCAAUGAAUUUAAAUUAACAAUAGAUAACGGGUUUAAAUAAAAUUUGGUACAUAUCAUUGCUAAGGUGACAUUUAUUUUGCCUAACUUAGAAAAAUUGAUUUUAAAAAGAAUUUUACCAUCUAAGAUUUUUGGAAUGGAAAAAUGUAACAUUAUUUAUAUUUCAUCGCAGUCCUUUUUCCUUUCUAUUUAUAUUUCAACCCAAUCAUUUUUUUUUCCUUUUUUUAUGUCUAGUUUGAUUAUUUGACUUUGAAUCUCUUCUUAGUUUCAUACAAGGAUUUUAAAAGAAUAAAUUCACAUAUUCAAUUUUUUUUAUUGGAUUUGUUUUCAUAUUACCUCACCUGCAUCGCAUGUGAACACUUCCUAACACACACACACACACAUAUAUAUAUAUAUAUGACUAUUUAGAUACGUAUGGAAGAUACACACAUAUACAUACAUAUACAUACAUACGUAUGGAAGAGUAAGAUGACUUUUUCAAAGAAUCAUUUUUAUAAAAAUGACUAUUUAGAAGAGUUAAGGAGCAAGUCUUUGAGGGGAAAUAAAAUCAAUAGCAAAAGAAUAGGAUGACGUUUUGAAAGAAUCAUCUUUAUAAAGAUGACUAUUUAAAAGAGUUAUGGUCUCUUUCACAAAGUAGAUAUUUAAUUUGAGAACGAGUGGGAAAAUAAAAUUAAUAGCAAUUUGCUUUUUAAUAUUUACAUAUAAGGGAAAGGAUAGGAUGAUUUUGUCAAAGAAUUGACUUCAUAAAAUAGAUAUUUAAAUUGCAAAGUCAUUAUUUAUCAUAUUAAUUAAAGAUAAUGAAAUUUUUUUUUAAAAAGUCAUUGAAACAACCGUCAUUAUCUCCUUUUUUGUUGUAGUGACUUUGGAUAUACUAUUAGAUACAUAAUUAACAAAUCAAAGGAUUGAGUGCAAUUAAUUACAAUAGAUUUUUUUGUAGAUAUUAGAAUUGGUAUAUAUUUUUCUCUAUCUACUGAUGGAAUGAAAAAGCAUCCUAGCCUCCUACGAGGGUCUAACCUUGUGAUUCUCCACUGUAUCAUAUCAGGGUGAUCCAUGGCUUGGUAGUCUUUUCCCUAAAACCUCUUCAUAUUGGCUCGUAACCGAUUCAAAAUUCACGAAAUUCAUAUAGAUCGUUCAAUGAAGUCCCCUAAUCAAGUUCAAGGUAGUCUUUGGUUAUUCUGGAAAUAUGACUAAUCUACUUCAGUACAAACUGUUGAAGUUACAGAAGAAACAAGCCAUGCAUAAAUCACCCACACCCCUCUUCCAAAUUAACAAGCCAUGCACAAAUCAAAUUCCCAUACAUCAAUAUUAUUUUACAUGUCUUUUUAACAGACUGAAUUCAUUAAGACAGAAGAGUAGAUAACUCAGAGGUGAAUCCUACAAAGCCACUUCUACAGAACCCCAAAGAUGUAAAAGGUCAGGAACAGACACCCAAGCACAAAUGCAGAGGUUGAAAGCUCUGAGGAACUGGGUAGCACCAAAUAAAUGCCAGAAGUAAAUGCUAUCACCAUUCCUAGGAUGGAAACGUAUGUGAGUAUGGCUGAAAAUUUUAUGAAACGUAGAAGCAGAUGAUAGCUUCGUUCCAGUGAAGCAAAAAAGUGGAGAAACACUGCUGCAGUUGAGCAAUAGAAAGCUAUACCAUCUGACAACAAGAAGGCCUUGAAGGCUAUCUUUGUUGAGAGAACUGCUUUACCUUUGUCGGGGCCUUCAUCAUUGUACCCACCAGGUAGAGUAAAGCCUGCUGCAAAAGUGACAGUUGCUAUGAGCGUCGCGACCAAUAAAUGGGUGUUGGAAAUGUCCUUGAGACGAUGAGAUCGAAGUUGCUUUUCUUUCAUGAUUUCUCUGUUCCUAUCAAGAAGUAUACUCAUAUUGCU
rnacentral:lncRNA from 1 species